CAGCCUUGCAGUCCGCCCCGUCCCUGAAGAAAGGAUGAUAAGUGCAGACUUGUUCAGACGCACUAUGAUGAGUUUCAAUGUUGAUUCUGGGGACCCCUCUGGAUGAAAUCGUUAGUGUUUUUCCAGGAUGAAGACUGCAUUUCCCAUGAGCACCACUACUCUCUGUGAUGACUAACCAUAGACUUUUCUGGAGUCCCUGAGUCCCCUUGUCUGUCUGAGUCGCUGCCAAAGAUGUCCUGCUGCUACGGAUCU